rnacentral:tRNA from 1 species
GCGCAUGUGGCGUAAUGGUAGCCGCGUUAGACUUAGGAUCUAAUGUCUUAGGACGUGGGGGUUCGAGUCCCUUCAUGCGCA